rnacentral:rRNA from 1 species
AGCAGUAGCCACGGGAAUACGUAGGGGGCAAGCGUUAUCCGGAAUUACUGGGUGUAAAGGGAGCGUAGACGGUUAAACAAGUCUGAAGUGAAAUGCCGGGGCUCAACCCCGGAGCUGCUUUGGGAACUGUAGAACUGGAGUGUCGGAGGGGUAAGCGGAAUUCCCAGUGUAGCGGUGAAAUGCGUAGAUAUUGGGAGGAACACCGGCGGCGAAGGCGGCUUACUGGACGACAACUGACGUUGAGGCUCGAAGGCGUGGGUAGCAAACAGGAUUAGAUACCCCAGUAGUCCCUGUCUCUUAUAC